CCCACUCCCGGUGAUUGUUCGUCUCCUCCCGUUCGAUUUCCACCCCAUCUCUUCUCUCUUUUUCACCCACGACACAGGCGGCGCAGCCAGAGGAGGAACGGAUCCAGCCGAGGCACCACGAGGGGAUCUAGCGGAGGCGCUCCAGCCUAGGCUCCACGAGGGGACACCGAUGCGGGCGAGGGAUCCACGGCGAGCGCACGCUGCAGGUGGCUACAGGCGAAAGGCGCGCUGCGGGUGGGUCAAGCACUCAAGGACCCUUCGAUCCAGACGACGCGGCCGAUUUUGCUGCAAGGGAAAGGGUGGCGAUGCAAUCAAUGGCGUAUAAGAUCGUGGUGGCAGAGAUGACGGGCGGCAAAGCAAUGUCGACGGUGGCGGUGGGCAACGAGGAGGAGUAUGAGGCUGUGGAGGAGGCCGGGGAUAGAAGAAGACAUGAGCGCCAAUGAAGUGUCCACCACCGCAGCACUACUUCACCCCCCGGCUGCAAUGUCUCCAAUCUACAUCGUAGUACGGUGGCGCAUCCUCCAUAAUGGCAAGCGAUCCUGUUCAACAGCUUGCUGGUCAAGGUCAACUAUGUGAUCUUUGGGAUCCCAUGCAUGCCAACCGUGAAUCAAGGAACAUGCUUGGAAAUGUUACCUGCAACUGAUCAGCAUCUGUUAGAUGAUGUCAAUGGGCUAAAACACUUGACCCGUUGACCUUGAUUUCAUUGAACAAGUGAGACUUCGUCCUGAAUUGUCGUGUUGGAUGUUUCAAGUGUUAAUACAUGAUUUAAUUGCUAUUCAGUCAGCUAUAUCUAUGAUUGUGAUAAUCUGGAUUCUUGAAUGAGAUGUCCUAUACAAAAUAAGCUAUGAAAGAGAAAGCAACUACUGCAGUUUUCUAAUAGUCACCCCGAUCUGUUGGUUCACACCAAGGUGUAUAUAAAACAGAGACUACACAGUUGGAUUUGUGAUGUUUCAUACAGCAGUUGUGCUAGAAAAUGUACCGGUGCAGGUCAUUGGUGCUUUUGACCGCCGGGACUUGCACUUCUGAACGUUUUUAGUCGUCUGAUCAAAAGCAUUGGAAUGGGCAGCUGCUCCCGCAACAAAACUGGAGACAUUUGGUUAUUCUACUGAACCAAACGUCGGGCGCGGCAUUUUACUUGUGUGCAGCAAUUGGAUUGAAAUUGGGACAAGGAAAAGAGAUAUCUGCUGAGAAGCCAUAUAUUUUAGCUGUCUGAGAAGUUGAGAUUUAUAGUUUUUGAAGAUUUGGUCUGUUCCACCUGAUAGGAGCUAUUGUUUGAAUGCAUCAAGUCUUGGAUUGAGCAAGUGAAGUUAUUCUAAAUAUUACCAGUUGUGCACGACCGAGCGUAUAUUACAAUCAGUUUUGCUAAGUCUCGGUCGACUUAGACUUCGUUAUGUCUCAGUCAGACAAUGUUAUAUUCCUUUGAUCUUGAAUGGAGAU